rnacentral:rRNA from 1 species
CCCUAUGGGGUGCGGAUUGGCGGUCACUGGCGGACUUUGAAAACAAAAUUGCUGGAGGUUCUCGAGGGUGGCGUCGUCGGAACAAGAAAGUCUGACCGUUCAGGAGCGUCGCAGGGAAUACCAGCAAUCGGAGCGUACGUCAGGGACAAGAUGCAGGAGUUGCUCGCAAAAGGCCUUAUCGAAGAUGAAGAAAUCAAUAGAUUGAAGAACAAGGAAUACUGCAAGGAAAGGUUCGGCAUACACUUCCCGGUCCUCAUAGACUACGACCCUUCGCUCCCCAUAUCGGAGCAAAUGAAAAUAGGGAAAUACAACCGAUAUUGGAAGGCUGUCUUUGCCGACAAGUACCUAAUCUGCAGUCAAUGGCACAAAGGACACACGAACAAUUUUGAAAAUUGGCUAGGGAGC